rnacentral:misc_RNA from 1 species
GGAUUAGAUCUUAUUUAUUUUCAAACGUUUGAUCGUGUGCUUAUCCUUUUUAGCGCUACACGCUAUGUUACUAUUGUAGAGUGCUCAGAAGAGAAUAUAAAAACAAGAAUUCAGAAUAGUCACAUAUGCAACACAAGAAAAAGGUGAGAAAGAAGAUACAUGCCCUCAAAUUUAUCAUAAACAAACAGCAAAGAACUUCAUGUCACAAAUUGAGAAUACUGUUAUGAUCAAGACAAAGUAGAAUAAGCCUAUAUUAUGGUCUUCUUUACCUGACCACUUGCUUAACUAGUUUCUAGUGGCAGUAGUAAAGUUUUGAAAUUCAAUGAUUGGAA